rnacentral:rRNA from 1 species
GAUGAACGCUGGCGGCGUGCCUAAUACAUGCAAGUCGAGCGAACGGACGAGAAGCUUGCUUCCCUGAUGUUAGCGGCGGACGGGAGAGUAACACGUGGAUAAUCUACCUAUAAGACUGGGAUAACUUCGGGAAACCGGAGCUAAUACCGGAUAAUAAUUUGAACCGUAUGGUUCAAAAGUGAAAGACGGUCUUGCUGCUACCUAUAGAUGGAUCCGCGCUGCAUUAGCUAGUUGGUAUGGCAACGGCUUACCAAGGCAACGAUGCAUAGCCGACCUGAGAGGGGGAUCGGCCACACUGGAACUGAGACACGGUCCAGACUCCUACGGGAGGCAGCAGUAGGGAAUCUUCCGCAAUGGGCGAAAGCCUGACGGGGCAACGCCGCGGAGGUGAUGAAGGUCUUCGGAUCGUAAAACUCUGUUAUUGGGGAGGAACAUAUGUGUAAGUAACUGCGCACAUCUUGACGGUACCUAAUCAGAAAGCCACGGCUAACUACGUG